UGGUGAAAUGUCCCAGCUUCUAGAAGGUCAUCAGGACAAAGCAUACAGAUUUUUCCCACACUGCUGUUUCUGUUCAGCAAUGUUCAUAUGUGCAAUGGUACAGAGCUCAGCAGGUAUACUGCUAAUUAUUGAACGUCUGACAGCUGCUUAUCAACACUUGGCCACUAUUUCUGGACACCUGCUCAUCCCUGAAGAGAGAGAAGUUUGGAAGGAGGACAGAGGGGACUCUCUUGAUGCCUGC